rnacentral:tRNA from 1 species
GGCGAUGUAGCUCAGGUGGUUAGAGCGAGGGCCUCAUAAUCCCUAGGUCGGUGGUUCGAGUCCACCCAUCGCCACCA